UACGGAGGGGCUAGCGUUGUUCGGAAUUACUGGGCGUAAAGCGCGCGUAGGCGGCUUGUAAGUUAGAGGUGAAAGCCCAGGGCUCAACCCUGGAAUUGCCUUUAAGACGUGCAUCGCUUGAACAUCGGAGAGGUAAGUGGAAUUCCGAGUGUAGAGGUGAAAUUCGUAGAUAUUCGGAAGAACACCAGUGGCGAAGGCGACUUACUGG
rnacentral:rRNA from 1 species